UCGCUCUUCCAGCUCUCAAUCAUGGCCUUCAUUGUUGGUAAUGUGGCAAUCCUUUCCUAUGCCUAGUCUAUAUAGGCCAAACUACCCAUUGUGUCGUCCAAAGGAAAACGAAGGAGUAGAACUGCCUCCGGUGGUUGUUCUUUUCCCGUGCGAUUCGCCUCUUCUGCCACACAGACGGCGACGGCGGUGAGGUCACAAAAUCGGUGUGGAACCCUAGCCUAGCUCCUCCUGUACGUGAUGGCAAUGACGGCGAUGGCCACUUGAGCCUCUUCUCCUCACCCUUCAGGCCUAUUUCCCCUCUUCCUUCCAGGUGCGCGCGGCGGUCGACCUUCGAUUCGUUCUUGUCCACCAGAAGAAUCCUUGAUGUGCAUGCGUGCAUCCAGUAGGUGUGUUGUGGAUCCUUGUUCUCUUUCUGGUGGUCCAUGCACUACUUGGUGGCUUCGUCCUAGCAGCAGCCUCUCACCCCUUUCCGGCAGGGGCGGCACUUGCACGUCACCAGCAGCGGCUUCGUCACUAGAGCGGCUGUUCUACAUGUGCGAUCCCUCUCUAAUGUAUGAUCCAUGCCGCUGCUUGGGUCCCUGUUUACAUCUUUUAUCUCCCUGAAUCUUCCAUACUAUUGUGUAUAAUCGCCUAUUUUUUCCUCCUCCCAUCUGGCAUGCGUUCCCCAGACCCUUAGAUAACCUCAUCAGAUCUGUUGUCCUAGCUCACUCUAGGUGAUAGUGAGGGCAGGGAGUCAGGCCGCUCAUGGUCUAUACGUCCUUGCCGCCGUUAGGUCCAAUCGGCCGAGACACAAAACUCUAGCCCAUGGGGGCAACGAUGAGAUUUCGACGCCUGCAUACAAUAGAAGUAGAAAUGGGAAGCUGUCAGUGGUGAGUUAAUUUACAAUGCCCUCUCUAGAUCCCCGACUUUGGGAUGAUGAUGGCCGGAUGUAAGUGGAUUGUCGUCAAACUGCUACAUCUGUUAGAAACCAUAGCUAUAGAAGUAUAGAUCCUCAGUAAUGACCAUGAGUUAUCUAAUUUCAUUAUUGUUUUUUGACGAAUAGGUGUUAUCUAUCUACCACGAUAAAGCAGGAUAUCUUGGUCAGAGUGAAACAAAUGAGGGGUUUUUCAAAAAGGCUGCCAUGUAAAUCUGGCACUGCAUCAUUGGCAUUUGUGAUGUUUUUGUACUUUGUAGUACUACGUGCUUAUUAGGACUCACCUUGUGUAAAUUUUGUAGUAAUUACACAUUAUCUUUUUCAUUAGUGGUAAACAGGGGUCUGCUGAAGAACUAAUAUGUACAACUGCCAUUUGCGAAUGGUUCCAAUAUUAUUUUUUCUAUUUAAUUUUUUGUGUGUUGCAGCUAUAUGAGGUACUUGGGUCUCCUGGUCACAAGAUUUAUUUAACAGAGCUGCUAAUGUUGGAUAUCCAAAUGCUCCAUUGGAAGUAUCCAAUAAUAAUGUUUGAAAGGGGAUAUAUUUGAGGAGCUUCUCCAUAACCAUUUAGUUCCGACAACUUUUCACAGAAGAGCAUUCUCUAUCCACCGCUACUUGUUUUAUCAUAAUUGUGAGUAAUUUAUGGUUUCAGGUAGAACUUCGUAGAAUUUAUACAUGUUAUGUUAUAUCAGUCCUACAGUAUAUAUGUUAACCCUUUUUCCCUUAAAUUUUAUGCAUGUAUAUUUUUCUUGCAACUAAUGUUGCUUGGUGAUGUUACUAAAUGGAUGUAUAGCAUGUACCUUAAUGGUAGCUACUAAAGCUUAUUAGCGUUAAUUAUCUGUUGCUAUUGGAUAUGUCACCAAUUCAAAUUUGUUCACCUUCAGAGUUAUCACUACAUCUUUGGUCAUUUCAAUUUGAUGUAUUUUGUAUUUUUACUAUUUGUCGACACUCUUUUAAUGCCACCUUAUUGAAUCUCAGUAUUCAUCGACCUGGUGAAUCUAUACUGCAU
rnacentral:lncRNA from 1 species